rnacentral:rRNA from 1 species
GAUGAACGCUGGCGGCGUGCCUAAUACAUGCAAGUCGAGCGAACAGACGAGGAGCUUGCUCCUCUGACGUUAGCGGCGGACGGGUGAGUAACACGUGGAUAACCUACCUAUAAGACUGGGAUAACUUCGGGAAACCGGAGCUAAUACCGGAUAAUAUAUUGCACCGCAUGGUUCAAUAGUGAAAGACGGUUUUGCUGUCACUUAUAGAUGGAUCCGCGCUGCAUUAGCUAGUUGGUAAGGUAACGGCUUACCAAGGCAACGAUGCGUAGCCGACCUGAGAGGGUGAUCGGCCACACUGGAACUGAGACACGGUCCAGACUCCUAAGGGAGGCAGCAGUAGGGAAUCUUCCGCAAUGGGCGAAAGCCUGACGGAGCAACGCCGCGUGAGUGAUGAAGGUCUUCGGAUCGUAAAACUCUGUUAUGAGGGAAGAACAAAUGUGUAAGUAACUAUGCACGUCUUGACGGUACCUAAUCAGAAAGCCACGGCUAACUACGUG